rnacentral:lncRNA from 1 species
GCUCCCGGGCUCCGGGUCCUGCUGCAGGGGCACAGGCAGCCCCCACCUCGUGGAGACACCUGCCACAGCUGCGGACUAUGCCGAGCCCACAGUCCUCCUGCAUCCCGUCUUGGAGGCGAACCCUACACCGUCCAAGGAUUGAUUAAGAAGCUUCAUGGUCAGAAGAGAUCUGGGUGGGGGUGUGCCUGGGAGGGGCAGGGGCAUAACCCAGACCCACCCUGCCCCUGACAGGCAGCGUCCAGUGUGGCCUGAGGCCCUCCCUGUCAACGGGCAGCAGAGUUAGAGGAUCACCCGACUGUGGCUGCACAGGGACCCCAGGCCCGCAGGACUGGUCGGCCUGAGUGUCCUAGACAAUGUCCCUCUGCUGCUUGGUCCUUGCCCCUCGUGCCGGGGGUGCUCCCUGCCUUCUGUGUGGGCUCAGGCCUUCCUGAAGGCCAGAGCUGCACUGCUCCUCUGAGGGCCAAGGCCACGGCUGCCCCGUCCCCGGGGCACUGCUGCACGGUUGCCCUCCGUCCUGGUGGCCCCAGGGGAUGAAGGUCAAGCAGCAGCAUGGAGGCUCGGGUGUGGGGUGUGGCUCCUGGCUGCCCAUGGGUCUCCUUGCUGGCCACACAGGGCCUCUCCGUCCUGCACACCCCACCAGCCGCCCUCUCGGCCAGGACCUCUCAGCAGAACUGGCAGAGCGUCCUCUCCACCAGGACCCAGAGAGCCUCACCUGCAGGC